rnacentral:rRNA from 1 species
UACGUAGGUGGCGAGCGUUGUCCGGAUUUACUGGGCGUAAAGGGAGCGUAGGCGGACUUUUAAGUGAGAUGUGAAAUACCCGGGCUCAACUUGGGUGCUGCAUUUCAAACUGGAAGUCUAGAGUGCAGGAGAGGAGGAUGGAAUUCCUAGUGUAGCGGUGAAAUGCGUAGAGAUUAGGAAGAACACCAGUGGCGAAGGCGAUUCUCUGGACUGUAACUGACGCUGAGGCUCGAAAGCGUGGGGAGCAAACAGGAUUAGAUACCCCGGUA